rnacentral:miRNA from 1 species
AUAAGCAUCGGGAUUAUUU